rnacentral:rRNA from 1 species
GGAGGCAUGCCUGUGAGGUUGCAAACCUCUUUUAUCAGGGAAGAACAUCUGACGGUACCUGAUGAAUCAGCAUCGGCUAACUCCGUGCCAGCAGCCGCGGUAAGACGGAGGAUGCAAGCGUUAUCCGGAAUUAUUGGGCGUAAAGCGUCCGCAGGUGGCCUGUUAAGUCUGCUGUUAAAGCCCAGGGCUUAACUCUGGAUCAGCGGUGGAAACUGGCAGGCUAGAGUACGGUAGGGGUAGAGGGAAUUCCUGGUGUAGCGGUGAAAUGCGUAGAUAUCAGGAAGAACACCGGUGGCGAAAGCGCUCUACUGGGCCGUAACUGACACU